rnacentral:rRNA from 1 species
AUGAAUAUCCUGGUUUGGAACUGUCGGGGAUUGGGGUUUGACCCGACAGUGGGUGAAGUAAGGGACCUGAUACGGUCAUACAACCCAACGGUGGUAUUUCUGAGUGAGACAAAGAAGAAGGCGCGAGCAAUGGAAAAAGUUAAAUGGAGUUUAGGGUUUCGUCAUGGUGUUGCGGUGGACUGUGUGGGGUGGAGUGGAGGUUUAGCUUUG